rnacentral:tRNA from 1 species
GGUAGUGCAUCCAACUGCAGAUCAGAAGGUUGCGGGUUUGAAUCCCG